UGAUAAUGCACAGUAAAGGUUGAUACAAUCAUUACAAUGUACAGGGUAUUAUACUGAGAAUUCUACUGAUAAUGCACAGUAAAGGUUGAUACAAUCAUUACAAUGUACAGGGUAUUAUACUGAGAAUUCUACUGAUAAUGCACAGUAAAGGUUGAUACAAUCAUUACAAUGUACAGGGUAUUAUACUGAGAAUUCUACAGAUACGAACAGUAAAGGU